GGAGGCAGAGAGAGGGACUUUCCCUAGACAGACCUGACCCCCAGCCACAGAGAACACCGUCUGCAGCGAGAGAAGACCAAACUACUGAGCUCUACCUCAGAGAUAUCCAGGAGAGACCAGAACUAAAGACUCAGGACUAGGACCCAGACAUCCAGGACCCAACACCUAGGACCCAGGGCUCUUUAACUAGGCCCAGGACUCUGACCCAAACCCAACACCCAGACCCAGGACUAGACCCAGACAUCCAGGAUCCUACACCUAGGACCCAGGGCUCUUUAACUAGGCCCAGGACUCUGACCCAGACAUCCAACCCAGAACCAGGGAGAGACCAGGGUACUCUGACCCAUAAAGGAUCUAGGAGCGGGUUUUGUUACACAGGAACUCUCCAUACCCAGCCAUGCCUGCCCCUGGAGGAACAGAUCCUAAGGGGGAGGAUUUCUCCACUGCUAUCCUGAAGCA